rnacentral:tRNA from 1 species
UGGGGCGUCGCCAAGUGGUAAGGCUGCAGGUUUUGAUCCUGUUAUUCAGAGGUUCGAAUCCUUUCGUCCCAG